GGGGUCCCAACCGAGCAUAAAAAAAAGGGGCGAGUUCCAACUGUAUAUAUAUGCCCCCUUUCAAAUGCAUUGAUCGUCUAAAAAGUUUAAGAUUCGACGGUUUUCUCCAACAAUAUGGUUUGAUAAAUUUCUUUCGAAGUUCAUUAUACUUUUCACAUACUAAAAUAAAAUGAUAUUCAUCUUCAAUUACUUGUUUAUCAC
rnacentral:lncRNA from 1 species